GGGUCACACAAUUCAGUCUAUAACACUAGGAUACCCAUUUUUCAUCCUUAUAAAAUAAAAUGAAUGUUACUUUGACAUUUCAUGAUAAGAUAUAAGCUUUUCUAUUCCUCUCAUUGCAAAAGAUGAUUAAAAGAUGCUGUUCAUACUGGGUCCUUCCUACCUGGCACCAACAAAUCAGGUAUUUCAUGACAGCUUUUCUUCAGAUAAAGCCAUGGUCGCCCCCCCCCAAAAGGAGGCUGGACUAAAUUAAAUCUUCGGAUUCCAAUUUUAUGAACUGCACUAAAAUCUCUCUAGGGUGCAGGAUUAUGUUUGUGUUGAAGAAUGACUACAUUAAGGACAGCUUAACUGGAUGGUUCUGGUCUAGGAUCUUUCAUGAAGUUGCAGUGAAGGUGCUGGCCAGGAUUGCAGUCAUACGAAGUCUUGACCAAGACCAGGUAAUCUGCUUCCCAGCUUACUCCCCUGGAUGUUGUCAGGGGGUGUCUGUUCCUCUGGAGAUCUUGGUUUCCCUCCUCAUGAUCCUCUCCAUAGGACUGCUGGAGUGUCC
rnacentral:lncRNA from 1 species